AUUGAACGCUGGCGGCAUGCCUUACACAUGCAAGUCGAACGGCAGCGCGGGAGCAAUCCUGGCGGCGAGUGGCGGACGGGUGAGUAAUACAUCGGAACGUGCCCAAUCGUGGGGGAGAACGCAGCGAAAGCGGUGCUAAUACCGCAUACGAUCUACGGAUGAAAGCAGGGGAUCGCAAGACCUUGCGCGAAUGGAGCGGCCGAUGGCGGAUUAGCUAGUUGGUGAGGUAAAGGCGCACCAAGCCUUCGAUCCGUAGCUGGUCUGAGAGGACGACCAGCCACACUGGGACUGAGACACGGCCCAGACUCCUACGGGAGGCAGCAGUGGGGAAUUUUGGACAAUGGGCGCAAGCCUGAUCCAGCCAUGCCGCGUGCAGGAUGAAGGCCUUCGGGUUGUAAACUGCUUUUGUACGGAAAGAAACGGUCUUUUCUAAUACAGAAGGGUAAUGACGGUACCGUAAGAAUAAGCACCGGCUAACUACGUG
rnacentral:rRNA from 1 species